GGGAUGUACUAAUUUAAUGAUCUAUUUCUGUAUAACAAGCCAACCCAUCACUUGGCUUAGCAGCUUAACACAACAGCUGUUUAUUCCUUCUUGUGAUCCUGUGGGUUGACUGGGUUCCUGGGGCAGACAUUCUGCCAUGGUCACACACAGCUGGGGGCUCGACCAGAGUGGACUCUAAAUGAAACUCCGGGUCUCUCUCCUUGUUCCCUCUCAUCUUCAGUGUCUAGCCCGAGUUUCUUUACAACAUGGAGACUGACUUCCAGGAGGGAAUGUGCCAAGAGAGAACGCUCCAUUGUGCAAGGGCUUACCAAACAUGUUUGCACCAUGGUUGUUAAGGUUCAUGGGUCACAGCAAGUCCCAGAGACAAUGUGGGUGGCAGGCGGAAGGAGUUGCACAAGUAUGUGAACCCGGGAAGGUAUGUUUAUUUGGGGGCCUUCCAGGUGGAUUCAUGUGGGAAAGGAAGACUCUGAGGCUGCCAGGGCUGGUGACGGCCAUUGAGGGUGUCUGUCCUGGAUGAGGAGAAGUGGACCAGGUAUAUUAUCAUGCAGGUGGAGAAUACAACAAGCCUAGCAGCCAGGACUUCUGGUAAUAAAAGGUGUGUUUGUCGCCUAUAUUAUUUCAGUGAGGGUCUGACUAUUCAAAUGGUGACACACAUUCAUUGAAUCUUCUUCCUUUGCAGAGAGAGUACACUCUGAGAAUGGGAGAAAAUUGGCACCUUGCUGAGUGUACAGACAGCUGGAUGGACGGAGUUUGGGCAUUUCUGUUAUUUCCAUCUGUUGUUUCCAAUAUUUCUUUUUCCAGUAAAAGAGACAGAUUGCAGCUGCGUUUGGACAAAUGGAUUGCUAUAGAGCAUGGGAGACUCUGGAGAGAUUGAAAAGGAAGAAAAGGACCUCGCUAUACAGGCUGCGACCGAGGAGUUUCAGGGCACUGACAUGGCCAGUUCCUGAACUUCCACUUCUCAGCCGGAGGUUGUCCACUGUCGGCUCUCCGCGGAAGACUGGCUGCCCAGGUCACGACAGAACGCACACCGCCACAAAGUGGUCAUACUCUGUCCUCGCACGGACUCUUAGAACGUGGAAAUGAGGCCGAGGGAAAAUGAACAUCAGUUUCUAAGCAAAAAGAAAGUGUGAUUCUUCCCCUGGCAAUUCCAGUAGAUCCUUGAGCUGGCCCAGCAGACAAAUAGUCAUCAAUAACCUGCAACUAGAUUGGACUUUUUAAACUUAAUUAUGCAGUAAGUAAGUUGAAUACUUCUGGUUUGCACUUUUUAUUUCCUUACACUAUUUCAAGUCUUUGUAAGAGUCCGAUUAACUUGCUCGCCAUUUUCACAGAAUAUGAGGCUUAUUUUUAUUGUUGGUUCAUAUAAAAACAUAACUGUUACAAAAAAUGUAAUAUUAAUCCAUCACUGUAGUUAUAACUUUUAGAUACACAAUUCAUUGCAAUGGGAAAGGUCUGGGAAAUUUCUAAACAGAAGAAAACUCAGAAAAAGCCAUUCUUUGUCAACAGUGUACAAACCUUGCCUCUUUUUAGAUAUGGAUCUAUUUUUAUUAAAUGAAAAAACAAUAAAAUAAAAAUAAAAUGCA
ensembl:lncRNA